rnacentral:rRNA from 1 species
AUACGUAGGGUGCAAGCGUUAAUCGGAAUUACUGGGCGUAAAGCGUGCGCAGGCGGUUUUGUAAGACAGUGGUGAAAUCCCCGGGCUCAACCUGGGAACUGCCAUUGUGACUGCAAGGCUGGAGUGCGGCAGAGGGGGAUGGAAUUCCGCGUGUAGCAGUGAAAUGCGUAGAUAUGCGGAGGAACACCGAUGGCGAAGGCAAUCCCCUGGGCCUGCACUGACGCUCAUGCACGAAAGCGUGGGGAGCAAACAGGAUUAGAUACCCUGGUAGUCCACGCCCUAAACGAUGUCAACUGGUUGUUGGGGAUUUAUUUUCUCAGUAACGAAGCUAACGCGUGAAGUUGACCGCCUGGGGAGUACGGCCGCAAGGCUAAAACUCAAAUGAAUUGACGGGG